rnacentral:lncRNA from 1 species
CCUAGCCAAACACACCCAUAUGUAGAGAGAGAAAAUGGGAUAAACUGAGAGGCAGCAUGGCCAUCCCACCUUCUGCGGUGGCGGAGCCACGAUGGAGCGACAGUGGAGUGACGGCGUAGAUGUGGUGAAGUCACGGCGGAGCGGUAGUGGAGCCACGGCGUAGAUGCGGUUACAGCUACACCGUCACGAACGAAGCAGACAGCGAGAGGUUAACCGGAUCCUUCGCCGUUGUUUCGUCACCGGAGUGGCAAACAUGUGUUGGAGACGAGCGGACAUGCUACCAUGGAACAAAUUGCUUGAAUAGGAUCAACGGCAGUCGAUAGCAUAACAAAAAAGGAAAAAGGUGUACGCGCUGUGUGCACGCCUUUGAAGGUGUUUGGAAUAUAUAUACAGUGAGUCUAUAUUCAGGGGCCUCCGUAGAUCAUCAAGUUCAUGGGUAAUAUAUAUAAACCUUUGUAAACUUAACUGCAGCAAAUAGUGAAUGCAAAGUUGCAAAUAUGAUUCUUUUUUUGGUUUUGGGAGUUGAUGUUUUAGUUUAUUAGCCCUGUAUGUAGUGUACGUGUAUGAUUAGAUGAAGUAUGAACUUCAUUCUUUUACAUUUGUAGCAUACAUAUUACUGUAUUCAUAACAUAUAUGCACGGCAGACAUAAAUAAAAAUCUAGCCCCCGUCGCAUCGCAGCGGGUUACUUUUCUAGUUAUAUCUAAUGUUAAUCCAAGAUCAUAC